rnacentral:rRNA from 1 species
GGGGAAUAUUGCACAAUGGGCGCAAGCCUGAUGCAGCGACGCCGCGUGGAGGAUGAAGGCCUUCGGGUCGUAAACUCCUGUCUGGGGGGAUGAAAACUGACAGUACCCCCGGAGGAAGCCCCGGCUAACUACGUGCCAGCAGCCGCGGUAAUACGUAGGGGGCGAGCGUUGUCCGGAAUUACUGGGCGUAAAGCGCGCGCAGGCGGCUUGUUAAGUCAGGUGUCAAAAUGCGGGGCUCAACCCCGUAUCGCACUUGAAACUGGCAGGCUUGAGUGCAGGAGAGGGAAGUGGAAUUCCUAGUGUAGCGGUGAAAUGCGUAGAUAUUAGGAGGAACACCAGUGGCGAAGGCGACCUCCUGGACUGUAACUGACGCUGAGGCGCGAAAGCUAGGGGAGCAAAC